AAAGUGAUCACCAUCGGGCUGAAAGUGAAAGCCCGAAUUAUAAAUAGUAUCAUAAAGAUUAUUACACACAUUAAUAAGUUGCAGAAAAUGUCAAUACAAUCUUACAAAAUGUGAAUAACAAUGUGAUGGUCAACUGAAAUUCUUUUAUAGGUAAAUACAAAUUCAAGAGACUGUAAUACGGACUUGAAAAGAGAAAAAUGUCCUAGAAAGUCCUCGAGUAUUUUCUGAUCUCAUACAUUAUCGAUGAAACUGAAACAAGAUCCUUGUUCAAGGUAGAACCACCAUUUAUCCUCUUUAUACAAUCUGAAAGCCUUGUAUAAUAGAGAAGAAGUUGAGUUAAUGCAGCUCUUAGAAUGUCCAUACCACACAGGAAAUUGCUGAAAGAAGUAAUCACAUCAUUGUGCAUAAGCUCAAUGGCAGCUUUCCAUCUGCUUGCAAAGUCCUUUACAAUCGGCUCAACUUCAGCAAUAGUUAUAGGUCUUUCAGUGCCAGUACUUGGAUCCUCAGACCCUCUCGUCUUUACAAAUUUGAUGAGAUCGUUAAAAUGCUCCAACAGCAAUUCUUCCACGAAUAUGGCUGUGUUAUUCUUUAGAAGCUCCUCAAAGUGCUGCUGGAUUUUCCCGCCAUCUGGACCAGCUUCCUUCAGAACCGAUAUUAUCAUGUCAUAGUUGUUUAUAAGGAAUACUGUUUGCAACUUUUGUUUAGCAAACAUUUGUGAUAGCUUGACAAGCAAGUCAUCAACAGCCAUUCUGAGUCUCUCCAGAUUCAGUUCAAGCUGGCCAUCUUUGUAUUCUACAUUAAGGUGAAUAAGGGACGCAGAAAACUCAGCAUAGCGCCUUAUGACAUAAUGUGGGUGAACAUCAUCUUCCCAGAGAGUCCUGAUAUUGGCAUUUCGCAGGCUGUGGAGGUGCAAGUCAAAGACCAUCUUGAAACGUGGCCAUAAAGCAAUAUUGACCUUGUCUAAGUAUGAAUCCAGGCAUGGAAUUCGGCGCCUGGACAUUACAAGCUGGUGCUGGUGUAUGAUGCGAAUCAUGAGCAUUAAGCCAAUUGCAUCAAAACUAUUAGGAAGAAUUGUGCUGAAAUGCUCAUCAAUUACUGAAAACGGGCCAGCAAAAAUAUCAUGAAACAUGGUCUGUUCUCCAAAGAAAUCAUCACAGAAAAGGUACUCAGAAGAAGCAGUAUCCAUGAGCAGCUUGUGCAAACUCCUGAAAAGGACCUCAUACGGAUAUUUUUUUGAGCUGGCUUCAGCAAUAUGUGGAAUUAAUGGAGGUUCCUCAAUCUCCUUGAGAAUGUUUAUCCUUUCUCCAAGAGCAAAAACUGCAGACCUGUUCUUCAAUGGUUCUCUUCCUCUCGAAAAAAGACCUGUGCUUCUGGUCUCAACACCUAUCAGAUCAUUAGAUGUUGCUAUAUCCAACUGAAGCUUUUCUAAAGCUUGAAUAUAAGCGCGGAACUGUGCACUCAGAACCUUGUUCAUUGUGUCAAUAUAUGCAGCUCGAACCUCAAGAUACACUUCCUUCCCAUGCUCCUUGAGAAAGGAAAGGAUAUACUUAUAUUUUAGGAGGACACUCUGCUGAAGGAUCUGGAUAUUAGUUUUGGGCUUCCUUAAAGCGUAUAGCUUCUGAACCAUGAAAUCAAACACCUUGGAGACAGCUUUCUGCCGAAGUUUUUCUAGCUCAGGCUGCACAUCUUUCAGGGCUUUUGAUGUUUUAACUGUGGGAUCUGCAUCUGCACACUUCAGUUUUUUACUCAAAAUUUCAAGGGUCCUCAUGUAUUCCUCAUUAACCUCUUCAUCAACAAUUAUGUCAAUCAUCCUUGGAGGAACAAUAAUAUCUUCAACAAACUUUGCCAACUUUGACUCUGCUACCUUGCGAUUCUUCAGCCUCACUCCCAUAUCCAUAGACUUCUCUUGGAGAAUUUUGAUAUCUGAACUUAUAGAACCUAUCUCUGCCUGAAAUCCACUGAGAAGAGUUUCCAUCUGUGAUAGAAUCAUGUCGCAAUCACGAAUUUGAUCAUGAAGUGAGACGAGAUUAUCACUUUCCUUUAUGUAAUCCUGGAUAGAAUCCAAUUCGACUUGACGUAAAUUAUUUUCAACGCCUUUAGUGUAUUCCCGCAACGUUGUACCUUUAGAAAGUAUGUUUGCGACAACAUCAUCAGCUUGACAUUCCUGUAACUCUUCCUCGAGUCCCUCAAGGGAUAUAUCAUCACUGGCAGUUUCAUCAUCAACAUUCAAAUCGCCAACGAAGGAUCCCAAAUCCAAGGAGGUUUUCGACGUGUUGCCAGCCACAUCCACCAUAGCAACUAGAGCAAACCAACAACUUUCUACUGAUCUACACCGUACAGCUAUCUGAUAGCCGUGAAGAGCCAAGAAGAGAUCUGAAAUUUCGAG
rnacentral:misc_RNA from 1 species